AAUAAAAUUUCUGGAUCAUAUGAUAAAUAACAUGUAACUGUUUUAAAGACUGUCAAACUGCUUUCCAAAGUAACUGUAUCAUUUUACUUUCCCACCAGCCAU
rnacentral:pre_miRNA from 1 species